CAAUUUCCCUCACAACAAUUUGCCGUAGCAACCAACAAAGAAUAAUCUUGGCCAACAGAACACAACAAUUUCACAAAAAAUAGCUAGCAAUUUCUCUCCAUCUGUCUCACUAUAUCUUCUCACUAUACAAUAAUGACAACAAUACACAAAGCAUAGCAACAUCCGUACAAAGCAAGUCAAACAAAAUAGCCCCAAAUCUUAAUUCCAAUCUAUGAAUUGCCCUUGGACAAAAUUUCCCCAAGUGUGCCAAAGAUGGAUUUUGUACAGAGAAGGGUGUGUGUCUCCCUCUCUGUAGCUCAUCUCCAACAGCAAUAAUCUGAAAACAAAUGCACCAAAGAUAGAUUUUUAUCUGUAACUUUAGCACUCCAACGCUUCAGCCAACAAAAAAGGAUGUGCUAGCCACCUAUUUGUCCCUAUUAAUAACAAAAUCUUCUUGCCUUCGCAGCUUGAACGCGGAAGGCCUUGUACACUUGUAGCAGCUUGUUAGUGAAGCACCCACCUCGGGUGCGGGCGCGGAAGGCCUUGGCGUAACAUCUGGGCGUCAUGCACAACCUUUCCCAGCGCUCGUCCUCACCAAAGCCCACCAGCAGCGGGCGAGGGUUCCAUGGUGUCUUCUCCUCCAAGUGCCUCGGUUCUGCCAAGCUCCACCAGGAGAUUCUUCGCCUGGUCUAUGAUGCACCAUCAAGAAACCAUGAUGAGGGCACCUCGGCCCCUCCGGCUUCGUCACUCCCCUCCUAAUGCAUCUGGAAUUUGCAUACAGUAGGUAGUAUCAACUUGCCUCGGAUGACACGACCCAUAAUGAAGUUAUUCAUCUAGAAAAUAAGCAAGAUGAAUGACUCUAUCUAUAGUUGUUAUUCUCAUCAUAGAAUAAGUAGUGAGCUACAAGAAGAGUUGAUGCGUGUGUAUAAACAACGACAUAAUUUUGUCCCAACAAUAAAUUCCUAACUAUUAUAGUGUUCGUAAGUUGUCUCUCAACUUUCUCAAUCAGCAACCACCUUUUCUGAAGCUAUCAAUGGUAUAAUAUUACAACCAUAAACAUCUAUCAUGGUAUGAAACAUCAGCAUGAUAGGGAUCAGACAAACAAGCAACAACACAACAUAGGCUAAGCCAAAUAACCUGUCAAGCUAUCAAUUCCUAUAGUGAAAAAUCACAGCAACCUCACGAACACGGGCAAUCGCCCAGAUGACAAACCUAUCACGACCAUGCCAGUGCAAGAGCAUGUUUAAGCUAAGUUCAUCGAGCUUGAAGUGAGGGCCGCCGCCCGGAGAUGCUCCCAUCACUUGGUCCAUACACCAUCUCUCAUACUCCCAUUUGCAUUUGACUUUGUUUCAUAGAAUGAGGGCAUGUCUUGCACGCAUCCCCACAUGCCUCCUUAGAAGGGUUCAGUCUACGCCUUGGGCACCGUGUCCGACGGACGCCAUCACUUGUGUUCAUUCAGAUCAUUUAUAGGAUACUUAGUAGGAGUAACACAACCCGAUUAUUUGAACUGCAUGCUUUCAUAGACAAUUUGCUAAAUAAACUUGAUAGAUAAGCAGCUACAUCAAAAAAGGAAAUUGCAAAAUAACAUUGCGGGAAUAAACAUUCUACAUCUCUAGGAGAAAUCAAGCUAGUGAGCAUAGCUUCUAAUGAAGAUGUGCCAACCUCAGUUUUAGGUAGUUGUAUAUAGGACUACAACUACAAAAAUAUUUAUUCAUUUGAGAAUUUCAACUAUAAUCCAUAAAUAUACAACCAGUAUAUAUUAAAAUUUGUAUUUAGUGAAAACUGACUUGGCACUUGACAUACAGCUAAGAUGCGAGCUCCAGGUAAAUAUGCAUUGCAGUAAAUACAGUGGGGAUGGGGGGAUAGUGGAUCUGCAUCCAAUUCUUGUAGACUCUGCUAUAUAAAUUACCCAAAGAAGACCAGACGUAACUUGGAAUGAAAUUUUAGAGAACGUUCACAUAGACAGUCAAAGGACAAUUGUUAAUGUUAUGGAAAAAAGAGUGAUUUGGACACAUUGUGCAGAAUAAUCACAUUGAUUGUCUUGGUUUUAUUUUUAUAUAUAAUUACAACUGACAUUGUUGAUGGAAUGCUAGCAGAAGAAAACUCCUAGUAGAACAAUUGUCAUUAAAACCAAGAGGUUAACAAUUAAUUGGUGCAAUGCUGUAACUUUGGGCCAAGAAUGUUCAUAUUUCAGUCGAUUUAUCAACGGUGUUUUAUGGUAUCUAGGUCUAUGUCAUUAAUUGACAAUUUAGACCACUUGUACAAUUCACAAUAGUAAACAAUUCUCAGUGGCAAAAGGGUAAAUGACUUUAGGGAUCUUUCAAAAAGAAAUUGCAUCAGUAAACUUACAAAGGAAUAAUAGCAUAUCCAACCCGAAGCUGUCUCCCUAUUUCCCGUCACAUGUAUGCAGCUACACGCCUACACGCCUAGGUUGUGCUACCACACUCCUAAUACUUGUCUUGAAGGAUGAAUUGGCAUAAAACCAUGAGCUUGCACAUGUU
rnacentral:lncRNA from 1 species